rnacentral:lncRNA from 1 species
CAGACAGAGAAGCCACAGUCUGUGCCUGUCUCUGCUUGGGUGAGCAGAGCCUGCUGUCACCAGCAUUUCUGACCUGAAUGCAAAUUCAAGAUUCAGUUCCUGUGAAUAGUCUCUACUUGAGCUUAUUAUUCACUGUUCAUUUGCCUGAUUCCUGCCAACAGUCACAUUCUCUGGUGUGUUUAGCUGGAGAGAACAUGCAAUGGGUGUAAAUACUGCUGAUGUGAAUUCACUAAGGGAAGGGAUUCAAGUGACUGUUGGUUUUGUGGCAUUCCCUCAGUACUGUUUGUUGCCUUGCAGUCAGUUCUCAGCCAUUGUUCCCCAGAGAUAUACACCAAGGAUAAAAACAUUGUAAUUUAAUGCAAAGGAAGAAUAAGAAAAAGUUCCUAUCACAAGUCAAAGCACUCAUUGCUCAGCUGGUGACCGAUAAGUUGUUAAGUCUUGGCUUUCCCAGAUCCUUGUUUUAUCUGAGCUGGAAGACCCUUGUUUAUUUUUCAUACCUGCCAUGAAAGCUUUUGCUUCUUUCCCCUCCUUUAUAGACAUUGUCUCUUCAUAACUGUGAUGCUCUGAUGUCCUUCAGUUUGUGUUUUUCCUCCCUCAAAGUAAACCAGUAAAGGAAGUGGGGUUCUUCCAAUGCCUGCCCCACUGCCUAGUGCCAAUAUCAGACAAGCUGUUUGUUUCCAGCUGUACCUGGCAGGAUGCAUGCAGCAACCAUGAGCUGUAAAACGGGGACCUAAGUGCCUUUUUAACACAGUUAGGAAGCCUGGCUCUUCUCUGGGAGCUCCUUUGUCAAACAGGCUCAGGAUGAACAAGAAACAACAUACUGAAUUCUCCUCCAAGUGCUGCAGCAGCUGUGGCCAUCUGCAGAGGAGUCACUGGACUACAGCAAUGGGCUACUGGAGCAGCUUCAGUGAGCUGCAGGAGCUUCAUUUCCACAGAAUCCGUUCCCAGGAGGUUUCUCUGGGUCCCAGGUGGCUGUGGUGUUGCUCCAAAGCAAUGAGCAUUGUGAAGAGGCUGAGCAGGAGCUGCUGCUGCCUGGAGAGAGCAGAUUUUUCACAGCAUCAAGAUCCAUUCCUUUGUGGGAAGAGACCUGUGGAUGUAUUCUGUUCCAUCAGGAAGCUCACACUUCAGGAUUUUCUCAUUUUCCAGCUGUAUCAAGAUCACCGUGGCAUACACAGGCUGCUGCAAGCCUUUCCAGUAGUUCCUGCAAGAUGGAAGUGCAAGGGCAAAGCAGGAAUCCAGAAGAGACUCCCCAGUUUGCUGGGGCCAGAGAUGCACACACACCUGAGAGUCAGGAGUGCUGUCUCUGCCGCAGCAGGCAGCGCACAGCAACGCAUUCCUGCCAAAACCAGCACAGGGGAGUCUGACAACAACGGCAAGAGCGGCAAUGAAAAGGCGCCUUCUGCCUCGUGCUCAGCAAACUGAACACAGCCCGAGCAACUGUGCUUUUGGGAGAGAAAAGUGAAUCAAUAACUCGAUGAGGACUGUCAAGUAAUGCUGUUGUCUGCAGUGUCUUUAAUGGCUUUGGUCAAUAAACUGAAAUUAUUUUACA